rnacentral:rRNA from 1 species
GGCUCAGAACGAACGCUGGCGGCAUGCCUAACACAUGCAAGUCGAACGAAAUCCUUCGGGGUUUAGUGGCGCACGGGUGCGUAACGCGUGGGAAUCUGCCCUUGGGUUCGGGAUAACAGUUGGAAACGACUGCUAAUACCGGAUGAUGGCUUCGGCCCAAAGAUUUAUCGCCCAGGGAUGAGCCCGCGUAGGAUUAGCUAGUUGGUGGGGUAAAGGCCUACCAAGGCGACGAUCCUUAGCUGGUCUGAGAGGAUGAUCAGCCACACUGGGACUGAGACACGGCCCAGACUCCUACGGGAGGCAGCAGUGGGGAAUAUUGGACAAUGGGCGAAAGCCUGAUCCAGCAAUGCCGCGUGAGUGAUGAAGGCCUUAGGGUUGUAAAGCUCUUUUACCCGGGAAGAUAGUGA